GGUGAACGCUGGCGGCGUGCCUAAUACAUGCAAGUCGAGCGAACGGACGAGAAGCUUGCUUCUCUGAUGUUAGCGGCGGACGGGUGAGUAACACGUGGAUAACCUACCUAUAAGACUGGGAUAACUUCGGGAAACCGGAGCUAAUACCGGAUGAUAUUUUGAACCGCAUGGUUCAAAAGUGAAAGACGGUCUUGCUGUCACUUAUAGAUGGAUCCGCGCUGCAUUAGCUAGUUGGUAAUGUAACGGCUUACCAAGGCAACGAUGCAUAGCCGACCUGAGAGGGUGAUCGGCCACACUGGAACUGAGACACGGUCCAGACUCCUACGGGAGGCAGCAGUAGGGAAUCUUCCGCAAUGGGCGAAAGCCUGACGGAGCAACGCCGCGUGAGUGAUGAAGGUCUUCGGAUCGUAAAACUCUGUUAUUAGGGAAGAACAUAUGUGUAAGUAACUGUGCACAUCUUGACGGUACCUAAUCAGAAAGCCACGGCUAACUACGUG
rnacentral:rRNA from 1 species